rnacentral:rRNA from 1 species
GACGAACGCUGGCGGCGUGCUUAACACAUGCAAGUCGAACGGGCCUGUCUUCUUUUUUGGGGGGUGGGUUGAGUGGCGAACGGGUGAGUAUCACGUGAGUAACCUGCCUUUCGGUCCUGGAUAACCGCUUGAAAGGGCGGCUAAUACGGGGUGGUCCGGUUGGUCCGCAUGGGCUGGUCGGGAUAGAUUCACUGUUUUUGGUGUUUCGGCGGGGGAUGGGGUCGCGGCCUAUCAGCUUGUUGGUGGGGUGAUGGCCUACCAAGGCGGUGACGGGUAGCCGGGCUGGGAGGGGGGGCGGCCAGACUGGGACUGAGGUACGGCCCAGACUCCUGCGGGAGGCAGCAGUGGGGGGUAUUGCACGAUGGGCGGAAGCCGGAUGCAGCGACGUCGCGUGAGGAAUGGUGGCGUUCGGGUUGUGAACCUCUGUUUCCGGUGGUGAAGGCCCUGUCCGUGUGGUGGGGUUGACGGUAGCCGGGGAUGAAGCGCCGGCUAACUACGUG